GAAUUCGCCCUUAGAGUUUGAUCCUGGCUCAGGACGAACGCUGGCGGCGUGCCUAACACAUGCAAGUCGAACGGAGCUUGCCCCUUCGGGGACAAGCUUAGUGGCGGACGGGUGAGUAACGCGUGAGUAACCUGCCUUUCAGUGGGGGACAACAGUUGGAAACGACUGCUAAUACCGCAUAAUGUUUCGAGGGGGCAUCCUUUUGAAACCAAAGAUUUAUUGCUGAAAGAUGGACUUGCGUCUGAUUAGCUAGUUGGUGGGGUAACGGCCCACCAAGGCGACGAUCAGUAGCCGGACUGAGAGGUUGAACGGCCACAUUGGGACUGAGAUACGGCCCAGACUCCUACGGGAGGCAGCAGUGGGGAAUAUUGGGCAAUGGGGGAAACCCUGACCCAGCAACGCCGCGUGAAGGAAGAAGGCCUUCGGGUUGUAAACUUCUUUUACCAGGGACGAAGAACGUGACGGUACCUGGAGAAAAAGCCACGGCUAACUACGUGCCAGCAGCCGCGGUAAUACGUAGGUGGCAAGCGUUGUCCGGAUUUACUGGGUGUAAAGGGCGUGUAGGCGGAGCUGCAAGUCAGAUGUGAAAUCUAGGGGCUCAACCCCUAAACUGCAUUUGAAACUGUAGCCCUUGAGUAUCGGAGAGGCAGGCGGAAUUCCUAGUGUAGCGGUGAAAUGCGUAGAUAUUAGGAGGAACACCAGUGGCGAAGGCGGCUUGCUGGACGACAACUGACGCUGAGGCGCGAAAGCGUGGGGAGCAAACAAGAUUAGAUACCCUGGUAGUCCACGCUGUAAACGAUGAAUAAUAGGU
rnacentral:rRNA from 1 species